UACGUAGGGUGCAAGCGUUAAAUCGGAAUUACUGGGCGUAAAGCGUGCGCAGGCGGUUAUGUAAGACAGAUGUGAAAUCCCCGGGCUCAACCUGGGAACUGCAUUUGUGACUGCAUCGCUGGAGUGCGGCAGAGGGGGAUGGAAUUCCGCGUGUAGCAGUGAAAUGCGUAGAUAUGCGGAGGAACACCGAUGGCGAAGGCAAUCCCCUGGGCCUGCACUGACGCUCAUGCACGAAAGCGUGGGGAGCAAACAGG
rnacentral:rRNA from 1 species